UCCCCUUUGUGUUAUUCGCCUUCGUAACAUCAGCGAAAAAGUAAAUUAGAAUUAAAAAUGGCCUUCCUUGCGGUUUUUUAUAACAAUCUGUGCAUAAACUGUUUUUUUUUCUCGUGUCGUCUUCCCGCCAAUGCCAAUCGCCCGCCACCAUUUUGGGUUUUCCACAGUUUUUGGCGGACUCCACCGGCUUGACGCGGAAAAGUGUUUGUUAGUGAAUUUCAGUGUUGAUUAGUGGCUGGAUAACUUUUAAUUGAGGGUUUUUAGUAAGUUUUGAUCGAUUCUUGAGAAUUUUUAAUGAAGUUUGGAGAAAUUAAUGAAGAAUUGAGGGACAAUAAUGGGAAUUCUCGAGGGUUUGACCCUCAACGGUUUUUUGUCGCGAUUUUUUUCUGAAAGUUCGUUAAUUCCGGUAAUUCGAGACAGUGAGUUAUUGUUUAUUAUUUUUUUAUUGGUGAAAAUUGACAAUAAAGUGAUGUGCAUCGGUCUUGGAGGAUUGCAUCCAACGAUUUUCUUCAAAAUGAUACCUUUUGCUGGGAUACCCACAGGUGCCAGCCCCUGGGGACGUGUGAAAAAGAGUCUCAGUGUCAGUGUUACAGCUUACCUCGUUGGUUUGGUAAAUUUGGCUGAUGGAUAAUUAUUGGUGGAUCGUCGAGGACCCGCAGGGCCGAAGAACAGUUGCAGCUUUAUAAUUUAAUGCUCCCUCAGCGUUAAAUCACCAGGUGCGUUUCAAUCUAUUUCCUUUCUCUAAAAUUCCGUUCUACGACGGAUACCUUAUAAUAUCACACGAUCUUCGUUUUAACCGAUUCAAUUGUUUCAAUGACUCAUUAAAUGACGGUGGUAUUAUUGAAAAAGUACGAUUUAUUUCAGGGUAUAAAGGAAAUUGCCAACGAGAGACACAAUGAGUACUGACUCGGUCUUGUCGAAGGCACCGAGGAUUACUAUUGGAUGUAAGAGAAAUUCUACACGGUCAAUCAGAGUGCGCAGUCUCUCCUGCGCACUUGUGGUACUGGAUUUUACCGGAUAGACAGUAUGUCGACAUCUGUGCACACAGUGAGGGGAAAAUGGAAUAUGGUGGAGGAAUUGAUCGAGAUGUUCCUGGACGUGUAGAAAUCCCGCAGGAUAAUUGACAAGUUACCUACCGUUGAUAUCUCACCGUUUGCUGGUACCUGUUCAUCACUGCAACACCUGUUCAUCAUUAUCAUCUAAACACCACAACGCGAUUCUCCUUCACUUCUCACCACGACAGCAACACAACUGCAACACAACUGCAACACAACUGCAAUACAACUGCAGCACAUCAUCUGAUCCAUCACUAAAUCUCGUCCCCUCAAUGACAUCAAACAAAUUCACGCCUGAUUGAUGCUGAAUGGUCUGCGCAGUUUCAGCUGAAUACAACCUGACGUAAUGGAACCACACCUCUGCUGAGUUCU